AAUUUUGCUGGGGGUAUUUGGCUGUGCAUGCGAAUGACUGUUGUGUUUUUUUUUAAAUUCCCGUUUUUGUGGGGAGUGUUAUGCAUGAGUAUGUUAAUGACUGGUAUGACUAUUUCUUUUAAUUUUCUGUUUGGUAGGAAAACCACUUAUGAAUGAUUUAUAUGAUGCAUGUUAGAAUGCAAAUGGGUAAUCAGAUAUGCCCCGGUUAUGACAUUUUUGCUUUGGGGUAUGAU
rnacentral:lncRNA from 1 species